ensembl:lncRNA
CUCACUGGUGAGAGGUUGACUCUCAACACUCACACUGCCCUCUCCCCCAAUGUGAGUGAUCUACCCUGAUCAUCGCUGGUCUGGGCAUGCCCUGGGCAACAACCCUGUGACACUGCUUACGUUGGUGCCCAAACUCGAAACAAUCAAGGCAUCUUUUUUCUUUCAUGCAGUGUGAGCAAGCUAAAUGGGAUCGGUCUCCACACACUGCACAUGGAGAAGCUCAAUACCACGGUGACGUUUGAGGCUUUGUUUCUGAAACAGGUAAGGUUGUGUGCUCCAACACCGUUUCUAACAUUUUCAGCAUGUGCUCCAAAGUGCCCAAUUCUGCAACUUCGUUUGCUUUAGGGUUUCUGACAAACAACAUUGCAAACUUUGAGCUCAUGUUUUCCAUCUUGCCACCUUAUCUUUCCAGGUGAGUGUCUGCUAGCUCAGCUGCCUCAUACAACCUGACCCAAUAAUCAAUAGGGCGUUCACUUUUUUCCUGCUGUGUCACAUAAAAGUCGGCCAAUGGCUGGCACGAGCCAGGGCUCUCACUAAAAUAGCAUUGCAGUACCUCAUAGACAACUUCAGGACAGAGUACAGCAACAGGGCCACUUUUCAGCUUAACUUUGACAAUGCUCUUUGCCUGGCCACAGAGAUGAUUCAAUUUUUCUUCCACACUGUCGGCUUCGCUGCAACCUUUUUGGACUUUGUGGAGUUUUGUGACCUUAGGGAGCAUGAUGGAUUGUAGCGUGAUAGAAGACAAGUUAGAUUCAUCAGGGGAACAGAGCAACAAUGGGAACAUUCUGGGCCAAUCCCUCCUGAUUAAGCAGAGAUGGCACAGUAUCAGGGGCUUAAAGGAGAGAAAAAAGACAAUGGAUUCUAUAGAACAUAUACAUCCUUUCUUUAUGCACCUCACUUAUUUUAACACUGUCAUGAUACAUUCUUGGUUAUUUAAAAACUACAUUGACUUGAGAUUUGUUUUAUUAGAACUGAAUUCACACAUUUAUCAACACAUAUUGCUCGGCACAGGCUACUUCACUGUAAACAAAACCAGUUGGUUGUAUUCUGUCAAUCAUCUUUGUGUUGCCAGUCAUCUGUCAAAAAAACAAAAAAUGCAAUGUUGCUUGAUGGUGAAAAGAGAUGUCUAGCUUGUAUAUCUUAAAACUGGGAAAGUUAAGAUGACAAUACAACUCCAUCGCCUUUUUUGCUUCACAUCCAGGGAGUUUUCAAGACCUGUUUUAUAUCAACAUGCUUUGUUUAAUCUGGAGGAAAGGCAGAUGGUGCCUCUCAAUUAAUAUUUAAUCAGCGCAUGAACAUUCACUGGUAUCUGUUUUCUGAAGGAAUUAAGAUUGCGACUACAUCCUUGUCUGCAGCAGUGACACAAGAACAUUAAAUUGUUUAACCUUCAUAUCAGCUUUAACUUCUCUUGAUUUUGUAACUAAUAAGAGCAGAUUGAAUACAUACAUCCAUAUUUGUGUACUGUUUUUGAUCCUUAUAUGAAGAAUAUGAUUUUACAUGUAUUAACGUGUAGGAUGUAAGUCAGAAAGGAAAGCUUUAUCUGUUUUAUGUGGAAAGAUUCAGUCAUCCUUUCAUCUUCUUUCAACACAAAUAAAUACAUAAUGUCACAUGCAUCUACACACAUUGUAAACUGAAUGAAUAAUUAUGAAGCUCAUAUUGAUAAAUCUUGGUUUAAUUAAACAUGAUAUCCACAGAUACAGUUGAUAGAAAGGUCGUGCAUUUCAUUGAAACCGUCCUACCUAAUACAGUAUAUUCUGAGUACGUUCAUUGACAAAAAAAAUACAAUCCCACAUAAUCUGCCGGCAUUUUGAAAUCUAU